UGGGAUAUAGCUCAGUGGCAAAGUGUUUGCCUAGCAAGUACAAAGUCCUGGGUUCAAUCCCUAGUACCAA
rfam:Dipodomys ordii contig_13469, whole genome shotgun sequence.